UAAGACAGGGGUCCGAGUGUGGAUGGAGAGGGGUGCAAAGCUCUAGACCCCACCGUGUUUUAGGGCACAGCACCAUCAGCACGAGGGCAGGUGGCCAGGAAGACUGUUUGAAGAGCACCACGUGAUGACCGACUGGGAGGCUGCGUGCGGCGUGAGUCACCCCGACCGGUGUGUUAUUAUCCACGUGAUGUAGGGGGUCUGGAAUGCGACUUAAAAGGCCCUAAUGAGACAUUGUUCAUAAUCAUAUUAACUGCUGCAAGUAACAUGGCACUGAAAAGUGAGGGCAGCCCAGUUCUGAUGAAAUCUCUGCUCUCUGGACACAAAUGAUCAAAUACAAGUGAUGUGCAAGCAACAUGAAUAAGUGAAAGGGCGUGCUGCUUCUUUCGAGAAAAAGCCACACAUUGCCCACUCUCUACCCUUGUCUCCUGCACCAUUUCCCAAACACAAUCACUAGGAUGAUUAUAAACAGCUUUCCCUAUUUCAUAUCCUCUUCGUUUUAACGAAAAUCUGAUCUUUUCUUGCCAUCCCUACCGUCUGACUUCAUACUGCACAGACAGGGGCCUAUCAUUGUUCCCUGUUUGGUCCUUGUUUCAGGAUCGGCAAGAGACAUGUUUACAGCCUACUGGGCAGCUGCCAAGACCUUCUUCAGCCCGGGGCUCUGGUUGGUAAUCAGUAGCAGUUGUUCCCAGCUCCGGCCCUAGACUGUGGUCCCAUGAGAUGAGCAGGGACUGUCUUCAAGGACGGCUUCCACUCAACCGUGGCUGAUGACGCCCAGACCUUUAUCUGCAGCCUGGAGCAGGCUUUCUGCACUCUUGAAGGUGGAGUUGGGUAAGGAGAAAAGAGCAAAGGAAAACAGAAGUGAAGAAAGAAUAGCAAAGGAGGCAGACAUCCCUGGGACCGUGUCUACCAAGAAGUUGUCAAGUAUUUCUUAGCUCCCUUCAAGACACUCACAGUAAUUUCAGAACACACGCACAUACACACACACUUUCUAGGCUCAGCUGUUGAACAGGUACAUGAUUUGGGGGUAUAGAAAGUUUCCUUAGCAAAAAAUAAAUAAAUAAAGGAAAAAUGUGUGAGGGUGCUU
rnacentral:lncRNA from 1 species